GAUGAACGCUGGCGGCGUGCCUAAUACAUGCAAGUCGAGCGAACAGAUAAGGAGCUUGCUCCUUUGAAGUUAGCGGCGGACGGGUGAGUAACACGUGGGUAACCUACCUAUAAGACUGGGAUAACUUCGGGAAACCGGAGCUAAUACCGGAUAACAUUUAGAACCGCAUGGUUCUAAAGUGAAAGAUGGUUUUGCUAUCACUUAUAGAUGGACCCGCGCCGUAUUAGCUAGUUGGUAAGGUAACGGCUUACCAAGGCGACGAUACGUAGCCGACCUGAGAGGGUGAUCGGCCACACUGGAACUGAGACACGGUCCAGACUCCUACGGGAGGCAGCAGUAGGGAAUCUUCCGCAAUGGGCGAAAGCCUGACGGAGCAACGCCGCGUGAGUGAUGAAGGGUUUCGGCUCGUAAAACUCUGUUAUUAGGGAAGAACAAAUGUGUAAGUAACUGUGCACAUCUUGACGGUACCUAAUCAGAAAGCCACGGCUAACUACGUGCCAGCAGCCGCGGUAAUACGUAGGUGGCAAGCGUUAUCCGGAAUUAUUGGGCGUAAAGCGCGCGUAGGCGGUUUCUUAAGUCUGAUGUGAAAGCCCACGGCUCAACCGUGGAGGGUCAUUGGAAACUGGGAAACUUGAGUGCAGAAGAGGAAAGUGGAAUUCCAUGUGUAGCGGUGAAAUGCGCAGAGAUAUGGAGGAACACCAGUGGCGAAGGCGACUUUCUGGUCUGUAACUGACGCUGAUGUGCGAAAAGCGUGGGGAUCAAACAGGAUUAGAUACCCUGGUAGUCCACGCCGUAAACGAUGAGUGCUAAGUGUUAGGGGGUUUCCGCCCCUUAGUGCUGCAGCUAACGCAUUAAGCACUCCGCCUGGGGAGUACGACCGCAAGGUUGAAACUCAAAGGAAUUGACGGGGACCCGCACAAGCGGUGGAGCAUGUGGUUUAAUUCGAAGCAACGCGAAGAACCUUACCAAAUCUUGACAUCCUUUGAAAACUCUAGAGAUAGAGCCUUCCCCUUCGGGGGACAAAGUGACAGGUGGUGCAUGGUUGUCGUCAGCUCGUGUCGUGAGAUGUUGGGUUAAGUCCCGCAACGAGCGCAACCCUUAAGCUUAGUUGCCAUCAUUAAGUUGGGCACUCUAGGUUGACUGCCGGUGACAAACCGGAGGAAGGUGGGGAUGACGUCAAAUCAUCAUGCCCCUUAUGAUUUGGGCUACACACGUGCUACAAUGGACAAUACAAAGGGCAGCUAAACCGCGAGGUCAUGCAAAUCCCAUAAAGUUGUUCUCAGUUCGGAUUGUAGUCUGCAACUCGACUACAUGAAGCUGGAAUCGCUAGUAAUCGUAGAUCAGCAUGCUACGGUGAAUACGUUCCCGGGUCU
rnacentral:rRNA from 1 species